GGGUUGUGAGGUUAAGCGACUAAGCGUACACGGUGGAUGCCCUGGCAGUCAGAGGCGAUGAAGGGCGUGCUAAUCUGCGAUAAGCGCCGGUAAGGUGAUAUGAACCGUUAUAACCGGCGAUACCCGAAUGGGGAAACCCAGUGUGACUCGUCACACUAUCAUUAACUGAAUCCAUAGGUUAAUGAGGCGAACCGGGGGAACUGAAACAUCUAAGUACCCCGAGGAAAAGAAAUCAACCGAGAUUCCCCCAGUAGCGGCGAGCGAACGGGGAGGAGCCCAGAGCCUGAAUCAGCAUGUGUGUUAGUGGAAGCGUCUGGAAAGGCGCGCGAUACAGGGUGACAGCCCCGUACACAAAAGCGCAUGUGCUGUGAGCUCGAUGAGUAGGGCGGGACACGUGGUAUCCUGUCUGAAUAUGGGGGGACCAUCCUCCAAGGCUAAAUACUCCUGACUGACCGAUAGUGAACCAGUACCGUGAGGGAAAGGCGAAAAGAACCCCGGCGAGGGGAGUGAAAAAGAACCUGAAACCGUGUACGUACAAGCAGUGGGAGCACAGGUUUACCUGUGUGACUGCGUACCUUUUGUAUAAUGGGUCAGCGACUUAUAUUCUGUAGCAAGGUUAACCGAAUAGGGGAGCCGGAGGGAAACCGAGUCUUAACUGGGCGUUAAGUUGCAGGGUAUAGACCCGAAACCCGGUGAUCUAGCCAUGGGCAGGUUGAAGGUUGGGUAACACUAACUGGAGGACCGAACCGACUAAUGUUGAAAAAUUAGCGGAUGACCUGUGGCUGGGGGUGAAAGGCCAAUCAAACCGGGAGAUAGCUGGUUCUCCCCGAAAGCUAUUUAGGUAGCGCCUCGUGAAUUCAUCUCCGGGGGUAGAGCACUGUUUCGGCUAGGGGGCCAUCCCGGCUUACCAACCCGAUGCAAACUGCGAAUACCGGAGAAUGUUAUCACGGGAGACACACGGCGGGUGCUAACGUCCGUCGUGAAGAGGGAAACAACCCAGACCGCCAGCUAAGGUCCCAAAGUCAUGGUUAAGUGGGAAACGAUGUGGGAAGGCCCAGACAGCCAGGAUGUUGGCUUAGAAGCAGCCAUCAUUUAAAGAAAGCGUAAUAGCUCACUGGUCGAGUCGGCCUGCGCGGAAGAUGUAACGGGGCUAAACCAUGCACCGAAGCUGCGGCAGCGACACUGUGUGUUGUUGGGUAGGGGAGCGUUCUGUAAGCCUG
rnacentral:rRNA from 1 species